GAUGAACGCUGGCGGCGUGCCUAAUACAUGCAAGUCGAGCGAACAGACGAGGAGCUUGCUCCUCUGACGUUAGCGGCGGACGGGUGAGUAACACGUGGAUAACCUACCUAUAAGACUGGGAUAACUUCGGGAAACCGGAGCUAAUACCGGAUAAUAUAUUGAACCGCAUGGUUCAAUAGUGAAAGACGGUUUUGCUGUCACUUAUAGAUGGAUCCGCGCCGCAUUAGCUAGUUGGUAAGGUAACGGCUUACCAAGGCAACGAUGCGUAGCCGACCUGAGAGGGUGAUCGGCCACACUGCAACUGAGACACGGUCCAGACUCCUACGGGAGGCAGCAGUAGGGAAUCUUCCGCAAUGGGCGAAAGCCUGACGGAGCAACGCCGCGUGAGUGAUGAAGGUCUUCGGAUCGUAAAACUCUAUUAUUAGGGAAGAACAAAUGUGUAAGUAACUAUGCACGUCUUGACGGUACCUAAUCAGAAAGCCACGGCUAACUACGUG
rnacentral:rRNA from 1 species